UACUUUCUCGCUCCUCUGCUUCCU
rnacentral:piRNA from 1 species